ACCGCGUCUCCUCCUGCCGCCCCACGCGCCUUUGCCGCCAGGUCAGUUGUUGCUGACGAUCUACUGUCGCCCCAUGCCAUCGACCUACUGCUGCAGAGGAUGGAGUUGUCGUGUGCUCGGCAGCCUUGCGCAAUCUGUAUCCUGAGCGCGGUCGCGCCCCUCUCCCCCUCUAGAGUUUUAUUUCCAUUCAAGUGACUCCGGCAGCUAGAUGCACCCAUCCAAGAUCUGCACGACUGCUGGUGACUAUGAAAUUGUUUCCAAAAUUCUCUGUUUUAGCUACCUAUCAUAAAGGGUACCUAUCCAAGGCAUGCAUCAUUAGUCCAACAUAAAAUUUCCACACCCAAGGUCAUCUGUGAUCAGAGGAACACUUUAUGUACAAUCAGUACAGAGUACAGACCAUGUGAAACUAAAGAGCUAUGUAACUAUGUAAUAUGGGCUUUUAUUUUUGAUAAGGUAUGUUAAUUAUAUGAGAUGAUCACUUCCUUGA